UAAUGUUGUCGGGGACUGUAUAUUGUGUGGUAAUAAGCGUCGCUUGUUCCAUAUUCAACGUUAAAGCAAAACUUGUUUGGGUUCAUAUUAAAAGGUUCAUUUGUUCAAUGUUGGCCUGCGACUUUGUUCAAGUUUAAAAUUUUGGCCCGCUGUGUAUUUGAGUUUGACACCCCUGCUCUAGAUUUUAAUUACCCCCUGAAAGAUGCGUGUGCGACUGGUGAUUAGCCUAGCCGCUGCUGCUAGUUAGCUAGCAAACGUUUGCUAGGUAUUUUCUUCCCAUCCCCGCCAUCUUGGGCCAAGUCAAGCAGCCAUUAUUUUGCAACCAUUAAAAACUACCACUAUGUGUUUGUUUCUCCCUCGUUAAUGCCAGCUAACUGGUUCCGUAGUAGCUACAUGUGCGAGCGAAGGAGGGAGAAACCCCGCUGGACAGUUAGCCGCUACAUGCUAACUUACCAGAGGCGAGCUGACGCACAACCCAAACUCGAGCUGCCGUUGUUGAGGAUGGGACGGACGGUUUAGUGGGAUACCAACAUUUCCGUCAACUUAAUGUCUCUCAUCUCGCCAAAAAAACAAAAACAAAAGUGUGCAUCUACUCUCUUGUGAAGAACAUAGUUACACUUGUGCAAGCCACGUAGUUAGAUUGCAAGGUGUUACAUUUAGUUUAGCUUGACUAUAACGUUUGCAGCAAGUGUAACGAGCGAAGUAACAGCGGUUGUAACACAACGUUACGUGUAUUUUUCUACACACAUGCCUAUCCUCGAGGGCCGUUGUGUAGAUAAAUAUAUAUAAAUGUAUAUAUGUGUUGUGACAAACACGUUUUUCAACAGUCGAUACAAUGAUAUCGCGUAGCAUGGCACCUAUUCUCUCAACAACCCAUGACACCGCCGCUUUCACAGGGGUGGAGAUUCACACCGUCCUGCAAUUUUACUUGUGUUUUGCUAGUUUUUGUUGCCCGUUUAAUACUGGCACACCUUUACAGAAAUGUAACGUUGCUAAAGAGUCGUUUUAUUCCGCGCUUUGGCGUGUGCAACAACCACGUCCAUGACUGAAAGCUGCCUUCACAGUCAGCCGCUGGUUCAAGCUUCAAAGUUGGGGGGGAAAAUUGAGGUUUGCGUGUGUCGCGGGUUAGCCGUGUAGCAAGAGUGGCGUUGGGAGGUCUGUACCACUUAUUUCAGUUCUUCACAGUAACUCACAGACUCAGAGGUGUGUCUGGCAGACCAGCAGGGUUCAGGAUCAGCGCUGGAGCAGCUCUCGCCCUCGCAGCAGAAAGAUUCCAGCAGCUCGAUCCAGUUCGCCCGGAAGACAAAGAAACACAUGAGGGUUCACCUCUGGACUGCGUUGACUUAUGAACCUGCUGAGUAACCUACAUCAGCUGAUGAAGGCCACGAGAUGCGGCCGAAAGUUCUAGAAGAAAUCUAGUGGCAACAUUUAGAAAAACCAUGUUGUUUCUCUUCUUCUAAUGUUUCCUGUUUCCUGCGAUCCCAGAAAACAGGAAACAUUAAUUAGGAGUCCCACAUUAAGGUUCAACAUGCUAUAAAGUGGAGAGGAAAUAUUCCAGACAAGGCAAAGGUGUCCAUUUAUUUCAUGGGGCUAUGGAAAUCAAUUUGGAGCAACUUGGUAAAGUGAGACAUCAACACUAGUACUGAAGAAGAGACUUUCCUUUUUAAGACAGCUGAAAAGGUUUUCCAGUCACAGGAAGGUAUGAUGCAUUUUCAUCAUGCAGGUAUCGAGGGCAUCCCCACCUUCAGGAUAACUGUGUGGUAUGGAAACACCUCGGCACAAGACAGGAAACGUCUGGACAAAAUGCAUCAAAAAUCCUAAACCAGGAGCCUCCUGAAAUCUACGGAAAAGACUCCUCCCUUCCUGCCAACCAACUUGAUGGCUUCCCUAAAUCUAUCACACUGAUGAUCACGUCUUUCUCUUAUUGUCAGUUGUACUGUAGCUGUAAACGUAGACUGGUUUUUAAAGUCCAUGCAACAGUAACUUCAAAAAUCAAAGCAUUUAUGAAGUUAUCAAUGAUGGAUUACCUUUCAGUAUCUCAAACAGGUUUGAAGUCUUUGCAAGUUAAUUAUUGCGACACAGAAAAAAAUAUGGAAUCCGACGGCUGUAAUUUUUUUAAACGGACAGCAGUAGUGUAAAACAAACUCUGGUGGUCUGAAUAUGUAUAUUUGUUGUCAUGAAAUUAGCAGAGCUCCUCUUCAGAGGAUAUUGGUGACAGAUAACUUUAGUGCUGGAGGAGUAAAAAACCACACGGCUCCAUGAACUGCAUUAACUACAUCAUACAGUUCAUCCUGCAGCUUUUCAGCUGUGAAGGUCACUCAUCCAUCGCUUUGCCUGAGGCGCUGUGGCGCGCUGUGUUAGAAAACAUCAAUGACAAAUGUGUGAAUGAUUCUUGCUUCGGUUACGCUUCAACUGUCAGUGAUGCAGUGAAACAAGAGAAGUGUUAUGCAUACAGUGUGUACAGUAGUGUGUUUCUGUUGUGAUGCAGAUCACAGACAUCUGGUUUAGUGUUGUGUUGUAUUAGUGCACACCCUGCAGGAGAUUCAUCUGGGAAUUAAUUAACUGUCUUGAGUUUCUACCCAGGGCACAAAAGGGAAAAACUAAAGAGCAUACAAAAAUGAUUCAUCCCUCCCUUCUUGGUUUGACCUUUGGGAGUGAAGGCCAAGUGCUGCUGUGGAGUUUAGUUUCACUGCGGCCUGUUUUAGAGCCACUCAGCUCCACCAAUCACAAUUAACUGUGUCAGCAGCUGCACGCUGGUUGCCAUGCAGAAGACGUCUGCGUUUCAGUGUCGCCUUCCAGCAGUGACAAUAAGCUCUGCUCUGUUUCCUCACAUUUUAGUUAGAAAUGCAUAGAGGUGAUGAUAUGACAAUGUUUCAGCUUUUUUCCUCUGAAAACAACUGCCCAAAAAGAUAAUUUACUGCAGGUUUAAACUUGCUAUUUAAAGCAAUGUUGGAAGUUUAAGUGGGAUCUGCAGGAUAUCCCAUUAUACAACCCUUGUGGGGCAGAGCAUGGAGGAUGGCCUCGGGUAGCCAGUACAGAAUUCCCAUGAGUUAGCCUGUUAUGUGAUAAACCACAAUUAAAACUUCAUCAGACAGAAUUUAAAAUGUUAUGUGUGAGAAACGGGAAUACUUAAGAAUAAUUUUGAGGUUACCAUUUUAUGAUACUUUGUACUUUUUACUCCACUACAUUUAUUUGACAGUUGUAGUUACUAGUAACUUUUCAGAUUAAGAUUUUACUUUAAAAAACACAAUGAUCUUAUAAAAUACAAUACAUUUUUUGAGAUUAAACCAGUUUCCAACCUUCUUGGCUUGUGACCCAUUGUAAUAAUAAUAAUAAAACUUUAUUUAUAGAGCACUUAUCAAAACAAAGUCAAAAGUGCUUCACAACAAGAGAAAUAAAAUACCACAGUAA